rnacentral:rRNA from 1 species
GUGAGGAAUAUUGCGCAAUGGAGGCAACUCUGACGCAGCCAUGCCGCGUGCAGGAAGAAGGCGCUACGCGUUGUAAACUGCUUUUAACCGGGAAGAAACCCCAGGACGUGUCCUGGGUUGACGGUACCGGAGGAAUAAGCACCGGCUAACUUCGUGCCAGCAGCCGCGGUAAUACGAAGGGUGCAAGCGUUAUCCGGAUUCAUUGGGUUUAAAGGGUGCGUAGGCGGUGCGUUAAGUCAGUGGUGAAAUCCUGCAGCUUAACUGUAGACUUGCCAUUGAUACUGGCGCUCUUGAUUGCGCUUGAAGUGGGCGGAAUGUGCCGUGUAGCGGUGAAAUGCUUAGAUAUGGCACAGAACACCAAUUGCGAAGGCAGCUCACUAAGGCGAUACUGACGCUGAGGCACGAAAGCGUGGGGAUCGAACAGGAUUAGAUACCCCAGUAGUCC